AUUGAACGCUGGCGGCAUGUCUUACACAUGCAAGUCGAACGGCAGCAUGAUCUAGCUUGCUAGAUUGAUGGCGAGUGGCGAACGGGUGAGUAAUACAUCGGAACGUGCCCUGUAGUGGGGGAUAACUAGUCGAAAGAUUAGCUAAUACCGCAUACGACCUGAGGGUGAAAGUGGGGGACCGCAAGGCCUCAUGCUAUAGGAGCGGCCGAUGUCUGAUUAGCUAGUUGGUGAGGUAAAGGCUCACCAAGGCGACGAUCAGUAGCUGGUCUGAGAGGACGAUCAGCCACACUGGGACUGAGACACGGCCCAGACUCCUACGGGAGGCAGCAGUGGGGAAUUUUGGACAAUGGGCGAAAGCCUGAUCCAGCAAUGCCGCGUGUGUGAAGAAGGCCUUCGGGUUGUAAAGCACUUUUGUCCGGAAAGAAAUGGCUCUGGUUAAUACCUGGGGUCGAUGACGGUACCGGAAGAAUAAGGACCGGCUAACUACGUG
rnacentral:rRNA from 1 species